GACGAAGGUGGCGAGCGUUGUUCGGAAUCACUGGGCGUAAAGCGCACGUAGGCGGUGCCGUAAGUCGGAUGUGAAAUCCCCGGGCUUAACCCGGGAACUGCGUCCGAUACUGGUGGGCUUGAAUCCGGGAGAGGGAUGUGGAAUUCCAGGUGUAGCGGUGAAAUGCGUAGAUAUCUGGAGGAACACCGGUGGCGAAGGCGGCAUCCUGGACCGGUAUUGACGCUGAGGCGCGAAAGCUAGGGGAGCAAACGGG
rnacentral:rRNA from 1 species